rnacentral:lncRNA from 1 species
CAGUAUGUCGUAAAUGCAACAAUUCAAUAGCUUAAUGCUACAAAUUCAUUUUACUUAUACAAAAUACUAAUUGCUACGGGCCAUAAUUUGGCUAAUUGGCGUAAACAGCCACCAAAACUGGUCAUUGGGACAAUGGUGCAUCUGCACCUCAGCAGUGUUUUGUCAAAUUUUAAAUAGGCAGGGGCCGAGUGAAGCAGAAGCAGAGUGUGAAUGAGAGAAUGUGAAAGGAACAACAAAAGCUGCUGGACAGGGUGGGUUUAGCCACAGCAAAUUAAUUUCUUUAUUCUGGCUAUAAUAAUUUGGUGAUCUGAUAGAUAUGGC